rnacentral:rRNA from 1 species
AUUGAACGCUGGCGGCAGGCUUAACACAUGCAAGUCGAGCGGGGGAGGUUGCUUCGGUAACUGACCUAGCGGCGGACGGGCGAAUAAUGCUUAGGAAUCUGCCUAUUAGUGGGGGACAACAUUCCGAAAGGGAUGCUAAUACCGCAUGCGCCCUACGGGGGAAAGCAGGGGAUCUUCGGACCUUGCGCUAAUAGAUGAGCCUAAGUCGGAUUGGCUAGUGGGUGGGGUAAAGGCCGACCAAGGCGACGAUCUGGAGCGGGGCGGAGAGGAUGAUACGCCACACUGGGGCUGAGACACGGCCCAGGCUCCUACGGGAGGCAGCAGUGGGGAAUAUUGGACAAUGGGCGGAAGCCUGAGCCAGCCAUGCCGCGUGUGUGAAGAAGGCCUUUUGGUUGUAAAGCACGUUAAGCGAGGAGGAGGCUCUUAAGGUUAAUACCCUUGAUGAGUGGACGUUACUCGCAGAAUAAGCACCGGCUAACUCUGUGCCAGCCGCCGCCGUAA